AGCUAUAUGUGAGAUCUGAUGAACAAGUCAAAAGUUCGGACAUUAGUUUGACGGGUAGAACUAAAAACAGUCAUAAAGAAUAGAAAAUGAUGCAGAAGAAAAGCUGACGACGGCCUGAUAGUAGCAUGUUUCACGGAAGCAGAUGGCGUCACCGGUUAUAACCAGUAUCGAGUCAACGACAGAUCGAGUUAGGAAAGGACUAGCAACGCGUACCAAUUCUGACUGAAUGGUGCAAAUACCAGUAACCACAUGUAUUUAUAACGGCGGAGCCUGAUCCAACUGCAGCCAGUACUGAACUAUGCCUUCAAAAUUAGAUUGAUAGAUAAAAGGUCUAGUGAAGAUAAAAUACUCGCACGUGCCGAGGAGAGCAUAACUCGAUGCUCGUGUUCUUGGUCUCGAAGCGACCGCGUGUGUUAUGAUGAUGGUAGCUUUAGCGAUGACUAUAUUUGGGAUCUGGUUAGAAUGUCAGAAUCAUGAGGAUGGCGAUGAGGAGGAAAGCGAAUUCGCUAACCUUGUAGUGGUCUGCGGCCUAAUAUUUGCAGGCGCAGGAAUCCUUAGUUUCGUUGGAUGUAUGAUUAUAGUGAGCAACUUCUCAGCAUCACAGCUAGGAUGGUCAUUUUACCUGUGCCUCGUUUCUGGAAGUUUCAUUAUUCUAUUGAUAGUUCUACUUUUGAUAUAUGUUUUAAAAGAAGUUGUAGAAUGCAUAUAUUACAGAUAAGAAGAUAUCAAGAAAGUUUUUGAAAUACGAUGUCACGUUUAAAUGAUAAGUUAUACAUGUUUCUGUGUACUCAUAUGUUGCAUUGAUGAAAUGAUGUCUUGUUCUGUUCUGUUCUCUUCCGUUCUGUUCUAACUGGUCACAGGAAUGUAUGUUUGAACCCCAUUCAAAGAUAUGAAUUGUUCUCUUGAUGUAUUGUUUUUUUGCUUAAUUAAAGAAAUGAAUUAAUUCAUUGAAAGUG